AGUUAGUCUGUGUGAAGGAAGGAAGAACCAGCAAUCUCCUUUUCCCAGGCUCGUCCCAGGAAGAGGUAGGAACACGUUGGAGAGAGGUCUUACUUGUGUGAGUCAUUUGAGGAGGAAACCAGAACAGCAAAACCAGUGGGAAGAGCUGAAGAAGCCUGAGUGAGGAGCAAAGCAAGACAGAUCUACUCAAAGAGAUAACCUGAGCUGUAUGGAGAUGCAAUGGAAAGGAUUUAAUGUAGGAAUUUUAGAAGUAUUCAGCUGAUUUGAUCCAUUCCUGGAAGAGCACGAAAAGGUGACUGAAAUGUUGCUACAAGGACUACUUCAUCCUUUUUGAAAACAUAGAGAGUGAAUCUCUUCUCCUGAACCAGCAAUUU